GAAACCGUUCAGGGGUAAACCUGAGAAACCCAAAAGAUCGAAUGGGGUGAUUCAUCGUCGACGACGCUGGCUCCCGUUGGUGCGCGAUGCUCCGGAUGGAUCCUCGUGGUCCAUUAGCGAGGGCACGCCAUCUUCGGCUUGAAUGUUCCGGCGACGUAGUCGUGCACUUCUCCCCUAGUAGGACGUCGCGACCCGUUGUGUGUCGGUCUACGGCCCGAGUGGGCGCCUGUCGCGUCGCUUCUUGCGCACGUGGCAGACCCUCGGUCGCCUGGCCGGCUGCACGACGGUACUCGCACGGUAUCGGGCCGCAACCAAUCCAUUCUCGAAUGUGUGUGCGUCGGGCCCGCCGCAAGCUCGGUCAGUAUACCCGGAGGUGCGGACCUGGCGCCGUCCCCGGGCCUGACCAGCUGUUAGCAGGCGGUGACCUCGGACUGGCCAAGCUUCGAAUUACCGGUCGGCGACGCUAUUGCUUUGGGUACUCUCAGGACCCGUCUUGAAACACGGACCAAGGAGUCUAACAUGUGCGCGAGUCAUUGGGAUGCAUAAACCUAAAGGCGAAAUGAAAGUGAAGGUCGACCUUUGCGUCGACCUAGGGAGGAUGGGCCGCGUUACGAUGCGGCCUCGCACUCACGGGGCGUUUCGUUCUCAUUGCGAGAAGAGGCGCACCUAGAGCGUACACGUUGGGACCCGAAAGAUGGUGAACUAUGCCUGGUCAGGACGAAGUCAGGGGAAACCCUGAUGGAGGUCCGUAGCGAUUCUGACGUGCAAAUCGAUCGUCGGAACUGGGUAUAGGGGCGAAAGACUAAUCGAACCAUCUAGUAGCUGGUUCCCUCCGAAGUUUCCCUCAGGAUAGCUGGCACUCGCUCGUUCCUAUUGAACGCGUGCGAGUCUCAUCUGGUAAAGCGAAUGAUUAGAGGCCUUGGGGCCGAAACGACCUCAACCUAUUCUCAAACUUUAAAUGGGUGAGAUCUCUGGCUUGCUUGGAUUAUGAAGCCACGAGAUUUUGGAUCAGAGUGCCAAGUGGGCCAAUUUUGGUAAGCAGAACUGGCGCUGUGGGAUGAACCAAACGCAGAGUUAAGGCGCCUAAGUCGACGCUUAUGGGAUACCAUGAAAGGCGUUGGUUGCUUAAGACAGCAGGACGGUGGCCAUGGAAGUCGGAA
rnacentral:rRNA from 1 species